GGCAGGCAUGUGCAGGAAUAACCGUAGGUUGUCCGAAAGGACAGCAACGCGUAUAGCGUGGGAUCCUACGGCCUGAGGCCUGCAUUUUU
rnacentral:sRNA from 12 species